AAGACCUUGCGCUUUUGGAGCGGCCGAKGUCUGAUUAGCUAGUUGGUGGGGUAAUGGCCUACCAAAGCUUCGAUCAGUAGCUGGUCUGAGAGGACGACCAGCCACACUGGGACUGAGACACGGCCCAGACUCCUACGGGAGGCAGCAGUGGGGAAUUUUGGACAAUGGGGGCAACCCUGAUCCAGCCAUGCCGCGUGAGUGAAGAAGGCCUUCGGGUUGUAAAGCUCUUUCAGCCGGAACGAAACGGUUACGGUUAAUACCCGUGAUUACUGACGGUACCGGAAGAAGAAGCACCGGCUAACUACGUGCCAGCAGCCGCGGUAAUACGUAGGGUGCGAGCGUUAAUCGGAAUUACUGGGCGUAAAGCGUGCGCAGGUGGUUUUGUAAGUCAGAUGUGAAAGCCCCGGGCUCAACCUGGGAACU
rnacentral:rRNA from 1 species